ACAAUGACAACAAAAGCAACAACACACAGGUGCACAAGAACAUCGCAAGAAGAAGAAGAAAAAAAAAAAGGAAGGCUCCCCUAUGUAUCACUGCGCCUCGUGUAUGUUUACAAACAGGCAGCUAAUCUGCAUAUCAGAGAACCGUGUUUCCUUCGCUCUUGAUGCGCGCACAGUUACGGCCUCUGCGCCACGCGCCGCACUUUCGCACGUACUCCUCCCCCCCCCCCCCCCCCAUCCCCCCGUCGGGUCACCCUUCGGGCACCACGGAGACGUUGUAUAUUUAGAUUGGCGUACGCUGCCGGAGGAGUCAUCGGCAAUGCCCUUAUCGGCAAGAGCGCUGCAGUCAAGGCAAUUCUCCUCCUCGAGGGAUCCUUAUCUCCCCCCGCUCGUAUAUUGAGGGGUGAUAAGUGACGGCGUACGAGGUACGCGGCCCUUUCAAGUUCAACGGAGACGGGAAAAGCCGCGGACGCGCACUCCCUUGGCGGCGGCGUUUACAAGCGGCCUUCCGAGAAAGCGUAAACCGGCGUACAAACUCCUCGGCGCGGCGGGAAAUUGAUGGUAACAGAAAGCAGGGAAGUCUGUCUGACAUAAGGCGCAAAACCACUUCGGAGGGAGAUCUCGGAACUUAGGUGCAGGUAAUUCCUUCGCUUCUCUUCCACGCUUCGAAGCCUUCGGCUGCUUGGAGCAGUGGGUGACGAGUUCGGUCGGUACAGUGGUCGCAUACACAGCUGGCGUU
rnacentral:lncRNA from 1 species